rnacentral:rRNA from 1 species
AUGCUUUGGAAGAAGCUUGUACAGUUUGGGAAGGGGUUUUUUGAGAGAAAAGAAGAAUCUACUUCAACUGUUAUGCCCUUAGGCACGGCCAUGCAUAACAUGGAAAUCACACGUGGAAGGGGUGGGCAAUUAGCUAGAGCAGCAGGUGCUGUAGCGAAACUCAUUGCAAAAGAGGGUAAAUCGGCCCCUUUAAGAUUACCAUCUGGUGAGGUCCGUUUAGUAUCCCAAAACUGCUUAGCAACAGUCGGACAAGUGGGUAAUGUUGGGGUGAACCAAAAAAGUUUGGGUAGAGCCGGAUCUAAGUGUUGGCUAGGUAAACGCCACGUAGUAAGAGGGGUAGUUAUGAAUCCUGUGGACCACCCCCAUGGGGGCGGUGAAGGGAAAGCUCCCAUUGGUAGAAAAAACCCACAACCCCUUGGGGUUAUCCUACGCUUGGAAGAAGAACUAGGAAAGGAAAAAAAUAUAGCGAUAGUUUUAUUCUUCGUCGCCCUCUGA